AGGCUCAUGAUGUAGUGGUAGCAUGAGGGUCUCCAAAACCCUUCGCCUAGGUUCGAGUCCUAGUGAGCCUG
rfam:Microgenomates (Pacebacteria) bacterium GW2011_GWA1_46_10 TX28_C0003, whole genome shotgun sequence.